AUUGAACGCUGGCGGCAGGCCUAACACAUGCAAGUCGAGCGGAUGAGUGGAGCUUGCUCCAUGAUUCAGCGGCGGACGGGUGAGUAAUGCCUAGGAAUCUGCCUGGUAGUGGGGGACAACGUUUCGAAAGGAACGCUAAUACCGCAUACGUCCUACGGGAGAAAGCAGGGGACCUUCGGGCCUUGCGUUAUCAGAUGAGCCUAGGUCGGAUUAGCUAGUAGGUGAGGUAAUGGCUCACCUAGGCGACGAUCCGUAACUGGUCUGAGAGGAUGAUCAGUCACACUGGAACUGAGACACGGUCCAGACUCCUACGGGAGGCAGCAGUGGGGAAUAUUGGACAAUGGGCGAAAGCCUGAUCCAGCCAUGCCGCGUGUGUGAAGAAGGUCUUCGGAUUGUAAAGCACUU
rnacentral:rRNA from 1 species